rnacentral:rRNA from 1 species
UACAGAGGGUGCUAGCGUUGUUCGGAAUCAUUGGGCGUAAAGGGCGUGUAGGCGGUUUGCUAAGUCAUGUGUGAAAUCCCUCGGCUUAACCGGGGAACGACGCAUGAAACUGGCAAGCUAGAGUACCAAAGAGGGGGGUGGAAUUCCCGGCGUAGCGGUGAAAUGCGUAGAUAUCGGGAGGAACACCUGUGGCGAAGGCGGCCCCCUGGUUGGAUACUGACGCUGAUACGCGAAAGCGUGGGGAGCAAACAGG